GUCACCGUCGAGCCACCAUCGAAGAGUCCCUCGAUUCUGAAGAAGAGUCGGGGGACUAUCCCUUUAAUGACAGGGACCUGGUAAAGUGAUUAAUUGACGACUGCAUCCUGCCCGAAGUCGUCCGGAGGAUUGAUCACGUCGAUCCCGAACAGCGGGUCUGGGACUCCCUUGGGUCCUUUCUCGAGGUAAACAGAUUCAUCUUCCCCCUUCUCCCCGCUCCUUUGUUUUGUUAAUUCUCAACCUUCAUUUUGAUCUCCUAGCCGCCC
rnacentral:lncRNA from 1 species